AAAUAGUUGUAAGGGAAUACAAACUUCCAGUUAUGAAGUAAGUCAUAGGGAUGUAAUGUACAGCAUAUGGAAUAUAAUCAGUAAUACUGUAAUAAGUUUGUAUGACGACAGAUGGCAACCAGACUUACCA